rnacentral:rRNA from 1 species
UACGGGGGGGGCAAGCGUUGUUCGGAAUUACUGGGCGUAAAGGGCUCGUAGGUGGCCAACUAAGUCAGACGUGAAAUCCCUCGGCUUAACCGGGGAACUGCGUCUGAUACUGGAUGGCUUGAGUUCGGGAGAGGGAUGCGGAAUUCCUGGUGUAGCGGUGAAAUGCGUAGAUAUCAGGAGGAACACCGGUGGCGAAGGCGGCUACCUGGACAGAAACUGACGCUGAGGCGCGAAAGCUAGGGGAGCAAACAGG